GUAUUUCUGGCAAGCGGGGACACCAUGAACACAAAGGUAUCUCGGGGUGAGCCUCAUCCAUUGUGUACUUCAGAGGUGCUGACUCCUGCCAUUUCCCUAAAUGCAAGAAACUCCCUGCAUAAACUGUGAUGGUGAGGACUGUGUUUCUGAUCUCUCCUUA
ensembl:snRNA U1 U1 spliceosomal RNA